rnacentral:rRNA from 1 species
UACGUAGGUGGCAAGCGUUGUCCGGAUUUAUUGGGUUUAAAGGGUGCGUAGGCGGCUUAUUAAGUCAGUGGUGAAAUACUCUAGCUCAACUAGAGGGGUGCCAUUGAUACUGAUGAGCUUGAGUACAGAUGAGGUAGGCGGAAUUGACGGUGUAGCGGUGAAAUGCUUAGGUAUCGUCAAGAACACCUAUAGCGAAGGCAGCUUACUAGGCUGUAACUGACGCUGAGGCACGAAAGUGUGGGGAUCAAACAGG